AAUCCGUGUUGUGGACACCUCCGCAAAAGAUCCUUGAAGCGUUCCCAUGUCUCAAACAAUGAUUCCAAUUCCAUCUGCGCAAACAACAAUAUCUCAUUUCAAAGCUU